rnacentral:rRNA from 1 species
AUUGAACGCUGGCGGCAGGCCUAACACAUGCAAGUCGAGCGGUAGAGAGGAGCUUGCUUCUCUUGAGAGCGGCGGACGGGUGGGUAAUGCCUAGGAAUCUGCCUGGUAGUGGGGGAUAACGUUCGGAAACGGACGCUAAUACCGCAUACGUCCUACGGGAGAAAGUGGGGGAUCUUCGGACCUCACGCUAUCAGAUGAGCCUAGGUCGGAUUAGCUAGUUGGUGAGGUAAAGGCUCACCAAGGCGACGAUCCGUAACUGGUCUGAGAGGGUGAUCAGUCACACUGGAACUGAGACACGGUCCAGACUCCUACGGGAGGCAGCAGUGGGGAAUAUUGGACAAUGGGCGCAAGCCUGAUCCAGCCAUGCCGCGUGUGUGAAGAAGGUCUUCGGAUUGUAAAGCACUUUAAGUUGGGAGGAAGGUCAGUAGCUUAAUACGUUGCUGAUUUGACGUUACCGACAGAAUAAGCACCGGCUAACUCUGUGCCAGCCGCCGCAGUAAGAC